UGCUACCUUCUAAGGUUUGGCAUGAUACAGCGAUAGAUUAAAGAUUGUUGGUUGCUUAGCCUCCAGUGGCAAAUAUUUCAUGUAUGUUUAGGACUAUGAUAUAGUGAUGACAUAAGGUUGUUUGCUAGUAUAAUAGUAUAACUUCCAUAGUUCAUUGACAAUCAUAUUAGUUUGUAGUUAGUUUCCAUGCUACCUUCUAAGGUUUGACACGAUACAGCGAUGAAUUAUUGAUUGUGGUUACUUAAAGUCCAGUGACAAAUAUUUCAUGUAUGUUUUAGACGAUGAUAUAUAUAAUGAUAACAUAAGGUUGUUUGCUAGUAUAAUAGUAUAACUUCCAUAGUU